GCUUUUUUAGCUCAGUCGGUAGAGCGCAUCCAUGGUAAGGAUGAGGUCGCAGGUUCGAUUCCUGCAAAAAGCACCA
rnacentral:tRNA from 6 species